rnacentral:rRNA from 1 species
AUUGAACGCUGGCGGCAGGCCUAACACAUGCAAGUCGAGCGAGCGGCGGACGGGUGAAUAAUGUCUGGGAAACUGCCUGAUGGAGGGGGCUAACUACUGUAAACGGUAGCUAAUACCGCAUACCAUACGGUGUGACCAGAUGGGAUUAGCUAGUAGGUGGGGUACUUGCGCACCUAGGCGACGAUGCCUAGCUGGUCUGAGAGGAUGACCAGGCACACUGGAACUGAGACACGGGCAAGACUCCUAAGGGCGGAAGCCGAGGCGAAUAGUGCGCAAGGGGCGCAAGCCUGAUGCAUCAAUGCCGAUUGUGUGAAGAAGGCCUGAGGGUCGUUAAGCACUUUCCGCGGGGAGGCGUUAAACGCAGAACACGCACCGGCUGACUCCGUGCCAGCCGCCGCGGUAAUAC